UUUACCCCCAUGACAUGUCAUCUUCUAAUUAGUUGCUAUGUUAACCAUAGUUGUCCAUAGUGAAUAAUUAUGUAAUUUACUAAAAAUUCAAUCUUUGAUUCUUCCCAAAUUAAGCUCUCACACAAUGAGCCCUAAUCUUCUGUAUCUCCUUCCUCCAUAUCCGUUUGUCCCUCUGUCUCCUCUCUCUCUAUGGAUCCUACUUUCAUCACUACCGACACCCAAAUACGUACAUUCCUCUUCCUCCGCCGUAUAACCACCACCAUCUCCGUCAGGUUCCCAACCACGUUCUUGUGAACCCUACCGCAUUCAAUUUCAACCCUCCCGUUUCUUUACCCCCCAAUCCACUCUUUGUUCCUCAGGUUCCUGUUCUUUUCGGGCAUGAUUCGCGUCACCGUAGUUCAAUGCUAUCGCAGCCUCCUUCAAAUUCUAACCCUAGCCGCAGUGCUUCCAGGUUCAGUAAGGAGUGCUUUGGCGGAGCAAACCGCCGUUGCCGUGUGGUUGUUCCUCCGAAUUCCAGUAUCGAAUCGAAACUUUGCUCGGAAGAGGCGCGAGACUCUUCUCUCAAGACAACGGCUUUGGAACUGGAUAGGUACGAUUACUAUAGAGCAGAUAGGGUUCAUGAAUAUAAUGGCAUUCCAAAGAAACAGGUUAAGAGAAAGAGUGCUUUUCUUAGAAUCCAGGCGCCAAAACCGAGCAAUGAUUGAUUUUGCCUUUGAUGAUGCUGAUGCUAUAGAAGAAGGGACACUUGUUGCUAUCAUUGGGCGCCGUCGUCACAAGUAGUGCCGCCUUCCUCACGGUAUCCUUCCCUCUCACCUAAUAUUAUUAUUAUCAAGAUCGGUACAUGGAUGGAUAGACGAUAAGCAUAAUUCCUUUGUAUUUUGGGGGUACAUGGAUCAGAUAUUUUUCCAUCUACACAUUCAACUUAUCAUUCGCAGGUCUGCAAACUCUCUAAAUUGCUGUUGUAAUGAAUAAGCCUCGUUCUUUCUGCAGUUUGCUUGACUUUAAUAUUCAUUCUGAAGCAAGAUUUUAGACAUCCUAACCACUUCUGGAUUUGUUCAAGGCAAGUGGACCUCCUGGGAUUGGAUUAAGGCCAUUAAAUUCUCCAAAUACAGUCUCUAGUAUGGGUCAGUAUGGCCAGAUCCUCCAGCAGUAUCAACAGCACCAGAAGUAGUCGCAGUUCCACCUUCAAAUGUCAGCCGUAAAUCAGUCGUUUCGGGAUCAGGGCAUGAAAGCUAUGCAAACUGCACAAUCCACACCAGAUCCAUUUGGUUUGCUUGGCUUGUUAAGUGUGAUCAGGAUGAGUGAUCCAGACUUGACAUCUCUUGCACUUGGAUUGAUCUUACUACACUUGGAUUAAAUUUGAAUUCAUCUGAAAAUCUACACAAGACGUUUGGGUGUCCAUGGUCCGAUGAACCUGCAAAGGGUGAUCCAGAGUUUAAUGUGCCACAAUGUUAUUACGCAAAGCAGCCCCCUGCUUUACAUGCGAGGUUUUUUAAUUAUGCCAUAGAAUCGAUUUCUUUAUUUGCAAAUCCUUCAUUAGGCUUACUGCUUGUUGCAUGAUGCAGCAAGGUUACCUUUCAAAGUUUUCGGUGGAAACAUUGUUUUACAUAUUCUACAGCAUGCCCAAAGACGAAGCACAAUUAUAUGCUUCAAAUUAAAUGAGCUGUAUGCACAUACCCUCCAAUUCAUCCUUUUUUUGUUAUUUAUAUUUUAUUUUUCUGUGGUUAGGGCUUAUUUCCAAAUUAUGUUGGGAUUGUUACAAUUUGGGAGCAAUUAAUGGUUAAAUCAGUCAAUACUUGGUAGGUGAUUGUUGCUUUCGGGCACAAUAGAGGAUGGUAUUAUCACAAAGACAAUCGUUUCUGGUUUAUAAGAGUUUCCAACAUGGAGCCGCUUGUUAGAACGAACACAUACGAGAGAGGAUCUUAUCACUGUUUCGAUCCAAACACAUUUGAAACUGUUCACAAGGAUAACUUUGUUUUACAUUAUGAAAUGUUGGAAAAGAGACCGCCUCUACCACAGCAUCGAGUAGGAAUCAGAACCUUUAUUGUAGAGUUUCAACUGUAAAUUUUCAUUCUGGAUUUUAAUUCCUCAGAAUGUCAUUAGCAUAAGUAUUCCUUUAGUUUGGGCUUUCUCGUACUAUAUGUUGCUUGAGUGAUCCAAGCAUUUCUUCUUUAACUGCUCUAAUUUGAACAAAAGAAUUAUGAUACGUAGGUAUUUCGAUAACCUAGUUAUCUGAUGGAUUUUGUCUGCCCCCUAGCUCCAAUGCACACAAAAGAAAAGCACCUUUGUCAAUAUUUGAUAUGGUUCCUAGGAA